GACGAACGCUGGCGGCGUGCUUAACACAUGCAAGUCGAACGGAAAGGCCCUGCUUUUGUGGGGUGCUCGAGUGGCGAACGGGUGAGUAACACGUGAGUAACCUGCCCUUGACUUUGGGAUAACUUCAGGAAACUGGGGCUAAUACCGGAUAGGAGCUCCUGCUGCAUGGUGGGGGUUGGAAAGUUUCGGCGGUUGGGGAUGGACUCGCGGCUUAUCAGCUUGUUGGUGGGGUAGUGGCUUACCAAGGCUUUGACGGGUAGCCGGCCUGGGAGGGUGACCGGCCACCUUGGGCCUGAGAUACGGCCCAGACUCCUACGGGAGGCAGCAGUGGGGAAUAUUGCACAAUGGGCGGACGCCUGAUGCAGCAACGCCGCGUGCGGGAUGCCGGCCUUCGGGUUGUAAACCGCUUUCGCCUGUGACGAAGCGUGAGUGACGGUAAUGGGUAAAGAAGCACCGGCUAACUACGUG
rnacentral:rRNA from 1 species